AGUUUUGAGCUAAAUAUAUUUAUAAUAUUAGUUAUUUAUGAAGGUGUUGUAAAAUCUUUAUUUAAAAUUAUAUUUAGGGGUGAUAGGCCUUUCAAAAACUAAGAUAUCUUGAAUCUAAUUAAAAGUAUGUAGUACAAUUAACACAACUAUUAAGUGAUUAGGCUUUAUAGAAUUAUUAACUUAUAAGAUUUUAUUUACUAUAAUUUAAUAAUUAAGUACAUAAAUAUAUUAAUAUUCAUAUAUUAUAGUUUAUAAAAGAGUAAUUAGAUAGAUUUAAGUUCAUAUUUCUUAUAAUAAUGUUAAUAUUAGUAUUAAAUUUAUAUUUAUAUGAUGAACUCGGCAAAAAUACUUUCUCAACUGUUUAUCAAAAACAUAACUAUGUGAUUGAAUACAUAGCGGUUUCUGCUCAA
rnacentral:rRNA from 1 species